rnacentral:lncRNA from 1 species
GGUGACAGCAGCAACUAAAGCCUGGGUACGGGGGCCGCCAUGGUCCAAUUUCAGCCGCCUCGAGUCGUGAGCGCCCUCGCGAGGCCAAGCCAGGCUGGAACAGGCUGUGGUGGUGUCUGCCGCUGGGAGGCAGAGCUGCUGAGUCUUGCGUGAGAGCUUAAGUCUGCCUGCGUUCCACCUUCAGCGUCAGCUCAGAGUAAAAACCCCUGGUUUUACCUGUGUGGCUGCCAGCCUCACCGCACUUGUUCCUUUUUCUCUGAGUGGUGGAGACCCGUAGACAUUAAUAUUGCGAACUGUUCGUGGGACUGCGGGCGAACUUUCCGGAGUCUAGGAUUCUGUCCAUUUUCUUUCCAGCAGGAUGAGAUUCGGGAUUUGGAAGGCAAAACAAACAAACAACCAACCAAAGAAAUGAAGAGGUUUGACUUUGGCCUUCUGUGAAUGAUGCUAAAGUGAAUAAGAGAAAUAAAGGUCAG